rnacentral:rRNA from 1 species
CCUACGGGUGGCAGCAGUGAGGAAUAUUGGUCAAUGGCCGAGAGGCUGAACCAGCCAAGUCGCGUGAGGGAAGACGGCCCUACGGGUUGUAAACCUCUUUUGUCGGGGAGCAAAGAGAGUCACGUGUGACUCAUUAAGAGUACCCGAAGAAAAGGCAUCGGCUAACGCCGUGCCAGCAUCCGCGGUAAUACGGAGGAUGCGAUCGUUAUCCGGAUUUAUUGGGUUUACAGGGUGCGCAGGCGGAGGUGCCAGUCAGCGGUCAAAUGGCGGGGCUCAACCCCGUACUGCCGUUGAAACUGCAUCCGUUGAGUGCGCGAGAAGUAUGCGGAAUGCGUGGGGUAGCGGUGAAAUGCGUAGAUAUUAGGAGGAACACCAGUGGCGAAGGCGGCUUACUGGACUGUAACUGACGUUGAGGCUCGAAAGCGUGGGGAGCAAACAGGAUUAGAUACCCUGGUAGUC